UGGCUUAGAGGGUAAAGCGUCUGCCUGCAGUGCGGGAGACCCAGGUUCGAUCCCUGG
rnacentral:tRNA from 1 species